rnacentral:rRNA from 1 species
UACGGAGGGUGCAAGCAUUAAUCGGAUUUAUUGGGCGUAAAGAGGGCGUAGGCGGAUAUGUAAGUCAGAACGUGAAAUUCCGGAGCUUAACUUCGGAGCUGCGUUUGAAACUGCGUAUCUUGAGGAUAGACGGAGAAAACGGAAUUCCACAUGUAGCGGUGAAAUGCGUAGAUAUGUGGAAGAACACCGGUGGCGAAGGCGGUUUUCUAGUUUAUAUCUGACGCUGAGGCCCGAAAGCUAGGGGAGCAAACAGG